CUGUCUGGAACCUAUAGCGUAGAGGCGGUAGAGCUACCCACCACCUAAUGUAUUGUUUGAUCCAACUCUGUAUAACUUCACAAUGUUGCUUGUUCUCCCUACUUAGCUUGUUGUUUGGUUGAUCAAGUAUCAACUGUAACAGUUUAUGAUGAUGAUCUCUUGAUAUUUGCUUUUUAAUGUUAUUGAAUGAUAGGAACUGAUUAUGCAAGAACUGAUGUUGUCAUUGAAUGCUGGGAAUUUUAGGAGCAGUUAAUGCUUUUGCACAGGUAAUGUUUUCAAGUUUUCAUGCUUCUGUUUUUUUCCACAUUAUUGAUUAUGAACUUCCUUCAAAUCGUGUUUUUUUGCUAUUGCUAUGUCAUUUACUGUUUUCUUUGCUAUGGUUAAUCCAGUAAAUAGCCCAGAUGCUAGUGUGGAGUGAAGGAAGUCUUGCCCUUUUUUGCAAAUUGUCCAUUGUUAUUGAUAAUGUAUAAUACCUGAAGGCACUGAAAUGUUUGUACAGAAAACCGAAGCGAAAGGAGGACGUGCUUGUAGGACUCCAGCUUGUAUUGCAGUUUUAGGCUUUACUCGAUGGAGUUGAAGGACUUCAAAAUCUUGUUUUAAAUGUUGUUUACCAACUCUUUUGAUACUUGAUGUGAACCCCUUGAUGAGUUGAAGGACUUUAGAAUCAUGUUGGUGAGUUGUUUGCUUGCUCUUUAGAUACUUGGUGAGGGCUGUUGAUGGAGUAUGGCUGACUGGUUUUAUGCAUUUUGGCUUUUGCAGACUUACACUUUAAAAUCACGUAUUGCGACUCACUUAACAAUUUAUGAGUAGCAACUAGCAAGCAUAGUUUUUUAAAAAAAUAAAAUAAUAGAAUCU
rnacentral:lncRNA from 1 species